GGGGAGAUAACUCAGUUGGUAGAGUGCUUGCCUUGCAUGCACAAGGCCCUGGGUUCAAUCCCCAGCACCA
rnacentral:tRNA from 1 species